GAGUUGGCUGCGUUUGGAAAUCCCUCGGCCUGAGAGCACCAGAUUCUCAAAACACUAAGUCUUACCACUUGUUCUAUCGUAAAACUUAUUUUGGGCAAGUCACUCAAGCCUUCGAUAGGUAAGAUAGUACCUGAAAGCAUUCCAGCUCAACUCUGCCCCAAGAGGGAGCCACCCCAUGGAAGGAUGGAGCUGAGCAACAUGCCACUCAAAGGAAAAGCACUUAGAACCACUCUAAUGCAGACUUUGGAGCCCCAUGUGGGUUUGAAUCUCAACUCUACCUGAGUGACCCUGGGCAAGUCACUUCACUUCCCUGAGACUCAAGUUUCAUCAAGAUGGGAACAAUGAGCAUCUGCCUCACAGGCUUGUCGUGAGGAUUAAGUGAGAAGGUGCAGCUGCAAAGACAUCAAGCUGGACCCAUCGAGGAUUUCGGAUUCAGCCAUCAUGGGGCUGCUGCCAGGGAAGCCACUGCCCCUCCUUUCUCCUCAGCACUGGGGUUAUAAAAAAAUACCUACAAACC
rnacentral:antisense_RNA from 1 species